UGAUUGCAGAAUUCCGCGAAUCAUCGAGUCUUUGAACGCAAGUUGCGCCCGAGGCUUGUCCGAGGGCAUUUCCGCUAGAGCGUCACC
rnacentral:rRNA from 1 species